rnacentral:tRNA from 1 species
GGGAAAGUGGCUCAGUGGUAGAGUGCUUGCUUCACAUGCAUGAGGCCUGGGUUCAAUUCCUCAGCACCA